AUAACUCUUACUUCAUGCAGAGCAUAGAAGAGGGUCCUCUGAUCCCAGCUGAUGACUGCUUUUACCUGUAGUAGCUGCGAUGGCUCAUCACGUCUACCAGUGGGUAUUCCUACCACAUGAAACUUGUGUCCACUUUCAAAAUUCCUACUUGAAGCAGACUGUCCGUGGCUCAAAACAAUUCUGGAAGUUGUGCUGACUGUCCUGUGAUGGCUCAGAGAUGUGGAACACAGACCAGCUGGAGCCCUGAGCUGUUUCCCCACUGCAGCUGCAGAGUCCCAGGCGGUGCUGGGAGUGCUGGGUUCAUACAGCUCACUAUUAAAAAUUAAAUAUGCCACGAUGCCCUAGAAAGAGCAGAAACACAUUCCUUGAGUGAUGUCCUGUUACAGAGAGAUGCCUUCAGGUGCCUUUGCCACUUACACUGCAGUUGUCUGAAUUUUGAUCGCCAAAGAUUGGAAGGACAAUAACCUACCUACCAAGGAAAAAAAAAAAAAACCAUCUCCUGCUUAUCCUUUUUUACAUUUUCUUUGAAGAUCUUCUUCUCUAUUUAUCAUGGAAAGGUUGCCUAUCUUAUGUAUAUCCACUUCUUCAUGCUCACAGGUGAUGCAUAUCUCUAGUGUCAAUAAACCAGAUCCAACAGCUCUAA